CGUUACUCGAUUGCUUUCUGGGUGGGGUGCUUCAAUGCAAGUUCGAGCGGUAGGCCCUUCGGGGUCACGAGCGGCGAACGGGUGAGUAACACGUGAGCAAUCUGCCCUCCACAUCGGGAUAACCCCCGGAAACGGGAGCUAAUACCGAAUACGACCACUUCAGGCAUCUGACGGUGGUGGAAAGUUCCGGCGGUGAUGGAUGAGCUCGCGGCCUAUCAGCUAGUUGGUGAGGUAACGGCCCACCAAGGCUUCGACGGGUAGCCGGCCUGAGAGGGUGACCGGCCACACUGGGACUGAGACACGGCCCAGACUCCUACGGGAGGCAGCAGUGGGGAAUAUUGGACAAUGGGCGAAAGCCUGAUCCAGCAACGCCGCGUGAGGGAUGACGGCCUUCGGGUUGUAAACCUCUUUCAGCAGGGACGAAGCGCAAGUGACGGUACCUGCAGAAGAAGCACCGGCCAACUACGUGCCAGCAGCCGCGGUAAUA
rnacentral:rRNA from 1 species